rnacentral:lncRNA from 1 species
UCCAUUUUCUUUUGUCUUCCUUAAUCAUUCAUUAUCCACUAUCCCACUAUUUCCUCCUCCUAUGUAGCAAUUUGCCUGAAUAUCCAAAUCGUCCCUUGCCUUAACUUUUCAAGUUUCCAUGAAAGAUGUGGAAAGGAUUUGACCGAAUGUGACCAGAUAAUUCUCCCAUGUAACAUCAAGAAAGGUCUCAUUUUCCAACCAAAAGUUAAGAAACUUUUAUGAUUUCUUAAUAUAUCUAUUGUCCAUAUUAUAAGACAAUAGUAAAGGGUUAAUGAUCUAACCCUUAUUUUUAUAAGUUGCUCCGUUCAACCUCUGGAACAAGAUCUUUAAAGGCUUGAUUUUCAAUGCACAUGUCAAACCUUUUAAAGAUGCAUUCUUCGUCAAAGAGGUAAGAAUUUCUCUUUCCCCAAUUCUUCAAUUUCGAAAUCUAACUAGAAAUGCUUAGUAAGAUGAUUUAUGAAUAUUUGAGUAUUAGUUAUACGUGCUUGUAACAAUAAGGUUAUUGGAAGAUUGUUGAGUUCAAAUAGGUAAAGAUUGGGUUUAAAAAAUGGUAGAAAUCUUCAAAAUUUUAAUUGAGGAUUUGAAAGGCUAUUCGAUAUCAGAAUUUGAUGAAUUUUGUAUAUUUACUCUCGUGGAUAAAUGGGUUGUCGAAAAUUAGUUCGAACCUCGAGUUUUGACUACGUGAGCCCGGGACAGAUUUUUACUAUUCCAGGCAGAAUAUUGUAAAAUAUAUAUUUAGCCAUUUGGAUUAUUUGGCUAAGUAGUAUUGAUGAUAUUAAAUCAAUUGUGUAUAGAUACAAUUGAAUUGGAGCCAAAUUCGUUAUCCAUUUGGAUUAUUUUGGUGAGUAGUAUUGAUGAUAUUAAAUCAGUCGUGUAUAGAUAUAAUUGCAUUGGAGCCAAAUUCGAAAGGAAAGGGCAUCGCUUAAGGAUUGAAUUUGCGGUAAACCUUCGAGGCAAGUGUUUGAUCUAUCCUAACUUGAGGGAAUAAGAGUUGAGUCUAUAUGUUAAUUGCUACGUUUGGAGUCCGACAUAUAGGCAUGGUAAUGAGUAUCUAUAUGUUGGGGGUCGAGCAUGACCGUGAGUCUUAAAUUGAUUAAACUUUCUGAUAAUCUUACGUAAUUAUAUGAAAGGACAGAUUAUUGGUUUUAUACCGGUAAUAUUUAUAUAGUUGAUUUAAAGGAUUAUUGGUUUCAUACCGGUGAUAUUUAUAUUGUUGAUUUAAAAGAUUAUUGGUUCCACACCAGUAAUAUUUAUAUUGUUGAUUUAAAGGAUUAUUGGUUUCAUACAGGUGUGUGUGUGUGUGUGUGUAUAUAUAUAUAUAUAUAUAGUUGAUUAAUUAUUAUUUGUUUUCUGCCGGUAAUAUAUACAAUGAUUAUUGUUAUUGGUCAUAGUUGCCGGUGACAAAGAAGAGUGAUUAUGCACGAUGGGUCUUUCCGUGCUCUAUAUUACAAUGAUUAUUGUUAUUGGCCAUAGAUGCCGGUGACAAAGAAGAGUAAUUUGGCACGAUGGGUCUUUCCGUGCCUCGAUAUGAGAGUGUGCGAGCAAAAGUACGAUGGGUGAUGCGGUACAUCUUAAUUGAUUAUUUGGUGAAAAUGAGAGUAAAAGCACGAUGGUUGGUGCCGUGCAGAUUUUGAUUUGCUCGUCCUCAUUAAUUGAAGUUCAUUUAUUUUGCACCUGUCAUUAUAUUUAAUUGAUAUCCCAGAGCAUGUUCUUCAUUCCCAAAUAUUUAAUGUGACUUCCUGUUAUUUCUGUUGUAUAUAUGUAUUUGAACUGUACAAGUUUAUAUGAGUGUCUGGUCCUAGCCUUGUCACUACUUCGCCGGGAUAGGCCGGGCACUUACCAGCACAUGGGGUCGGUUGUGCUGAUUCUACACUCUGCGUUGUUUUUGCGCAGAUUCAGGUUUUGGACAGCAGCAGCAAUAGUAGUGCGGGUGUUAGCUUUUGAUCAUCGAGACACCAAGGUAGCCUUGCAGGCGUCCGCAGGACCCGACGUCUCCUCUAUCUUUACUUUCAGUCUGUUAUCUCAUAUAUUCGAGGCAAACAGUAUUUUAUUUCUUUCAGACAGUUGUGUGUAAUAUUCUUAGAAGUUCGUGAGUAUUGUGUCACUAGUUCUUGGGUAGUAUUUUAUGUUGGAAUUUCAGUAUCG